rnacentral:tRNA from 1 species
CAAAGAAUAGUUUAAAUUUAAAAUAUUAAUUUUGGAGAUUAAAGAUAAAUAGUUUUUUUCUUUGA